rnacentral:rRNA from 1 species
CCUACGGGCGGCUGCAGUGGGGAAUAUUGGACAAUGGGCGAAAGCCUGAUCCAGCCAUGCCGCGUGUGUGAAGAAGGCCUUCGGGUUGUAAAGCACUUUCAGUGGGGAAGAAAGCCUUGGGGCUAAUACCCUCGAGGAAGGACAUCACCCACAGAAGAAGCACCGGCUAACUCCGUGCCAGCAGCCGCGGUAAUACGGAGGGUGCGAGCGUUAAUCGGAAUUACUGGGCGUAAAGCGCGCGUAGGCGGUCUGAUAAGCCGGUUGUGAAAGCCCCGGGCUCAACCUGGGAACGGCAUCCGGAACGGUCAGGCUAGAGUGCAGGAGAGGAAGGUAGAAUUCCCGGUGUAGCGGUGAAAUGCGUAGAGAUCGGGAGGAAUACCAGUGGCGAAGGCGGCCUUCUGGACUGACACUGACGCUGAGGUGCGAAAGCGUGGGUAGCAAACAGGAUUAGAUACCCCAGUAGUC